rnacentral:rRNA from 1 species
UACGUAGGGCGCAAGCGUUGUCCGGAAUUAUUGGGCGUAAAGAGCUCGUAGGCGGUUUGUCGCGUCUGCUGUGAAAACUCGAGGCUCAACCUCGGGCUUGCAGUGGGUACGAGCAGACUAGAGUGCGGUAGGGGAGACUGGAAUUCCUGGUGUAGCGGUGAAAUGCGCAGAUAUCAGGAGGAACACCGGUGGCGAAGGCGGGUCUCUGGGCCGAUACUGACGCUGAGGAGCGAAAGCGUGGGGAGCGAACAGG